AAGAGCGUCGAGAAUUACCCAUGUGUGUGGCACGUGACCUUUACUUAAAUUUUUUCCGCUCCGCGUCUUCAAAUUUUAAUUUAAUCGGUGAACCGCCAAACCAAAUUAAAACCCUAAAAAAAAAAGAAAACACCUUCAUUCACCUCUGUCAUCAGUUGUUCGAUCUGAGAAUCCUUCAACCUCCAUUGAAAUCUCAAUUCACUUCAACCCUCCAUUGAAAUCGCAUCUCUUACGCCACCUUGAACCCUCGAUCUCAAUUGCGGAUUUUCACCAGGGGAUAACAAACGAACAGAAGACUCUAGCGAAGAGCAAAAGGCUUGUGUCAAGUUGAUUUUCACUCCUGUAGACGAACCAGUCUUACCUCAUUGCAUAUGUGGAUUGGCUGUGGGCAACAGUUGCUGCAGCAGUUAAGUGGCCCGAUUCAUAAUCUGCCUAAGAUAUCAUAGGGACGAGAUGAGUUAUCGUAGCAAAGAAACUAGGAUUGCAGCUCUAAAUGAGUCUCGUAAUGCAUCUGAAGUUCCUCCAAAAAAGGCUCAAAGGGCAUAAACAUCACAGUCAGCAUCACAGUCAGCAUAUCCAUACAAAAAUCAGUCCACUAUCCCAGUUCCCUCGCCCUCACUCAAAAACACAAGGCCUGCAUCAUCACAGUCAGUCCAUCCACCAAAAAAUCACCCAACGAUUUCAGUGCCCUUGCCCUCACUCCAAAAUAUAAUUAAGGCCGGUAUCAUCACAGUCAGUCCAUCCACCAAAAAAUCACCCCAAGAUUCCAGUUCCCUCGCCCUCACUCCAAAAUACAAGGGGAACUAAUGACAGACGGGGGCCAUUUAAUCCUCAAAUUACCACUCCCACUCAACAUGGGACUUCAUCUUCCACUACCACUAGCAACCCUAAUUGGAAAAAUCCACUCACUGUACCAACAACUAGUGAACCUAAGGUUUCAUCGAAAGGGCCAUCAAGGUACAACCCUACUAUAGACAAGACUUUUGAGUCACCUAAUAUCCCAACUGAAAAUCCAACAAAAGUCCCACAUUCUAGGCUGUCAGAACCACCCAAGCACCCUUCCACUUUGUCUCUUACUUCUCAGCUACCAUAUGAACUUGCUAAACAGUCUACAUAUUCGACAUCUGCUGCUUUUGAUGCUAGUAUAUUAGAAGAAACACAUGAUACUCGUACUGGGAGUUCACCAACAACACUUGAGGAUGAACAUGCAUGCCAUAUAAGUGAUAGAAAAGCAACAGAGAAAUCCAAAGAAUCAUGUGAUGGAAAGGAAAAAAAGAUCAUUAAAUGAUCUAAGUCUCGAUGUCAUGAGUCGCUCCCAGAAUGGCUAAGUACAAUUAAGUAUGAUAACAAGGAGCAGGUUUUGACCAUAGAUGCUAAGGGUAAUCAAAAACUAGUUAGCGAUUCAACCAAUGGACGUCUGGAACAACAAUGCAAGCAUCAAAUAUGUUGUGCACUUCAAUGAACUAUACCAACCGAUUAGGAAAGGUGGGCAUAUUUUAGUCAGAUUCCUUAGAAGCAUCGCAAAGCAAGAAAGUUACUGCCCAAUUUCUGAAAAGACUUGGGGUCAACUGGACAACUGUUUUAAAGUUGACAUCAUCAAAUUGAUUAGAGACCACUUUGUGAUUCAUGAUGAUACAAAGUAUGAGGACCUAGCUCUCCAAUGUGUUAUAGAGUGUGGAGGCAAUAUAAAUAUGAAAUUAAAAAAAAGUACUACUUACCGGAUGUGAAAACAAUAGAAGACAUUAAAAAGUAUGUGCCACCUGGAGUUUCCAAGCAAGACUGGGUGAACUUGGUCAACUAUUGGGAUUCAUCCAAAGGGAAAAAAUUGUCUGAGUACGGAAAAGAGGCACGAGCAUCUCUGAGUCAUUUUCAUACUAAUGGUUGUACAAGCUUGCGAAUACACGUGCUGGUUAUGUAUAAAACCAUUAAUCCAACUACUCUACAACUUAUAACCGUGAUUUGUCUCUUUAUAAUAUUACAUGUAACUUGUUUCUAUGUAUAUAUUGCUACUUGUAAGAAGAUGAACAUGGAGAAGAUAUGAGCCUAAUAUAACUUUGGCUAGCUUGUUAUAAGAAGAAGGAUGGAACCUUUGUCGGCAACACAUUCACCGAAGACUUUUUGGAUGAUGUCAAGGCAAAUGAUGAAAGGUUAAAGCUUCUUUAUCCUCCUAGCUCCAAGUCAAUUAAGGAGAUCUAGAAUGAGGCUUUUGAGGCUACGCUAUAUAAUCGAGAAAUUCCUGAAAAACCACAAGGUUAUGGAUUUGGUGUUCGUAAAGGAGACAUUUAUGGGGUGCGUGGUGCACUCAGAAAAGCAGGGUUUGGUAAAGGAAAAAGGAGGGUAAUAGAAGUGGAUAGCAUCAAUGUCGAGGUAUCAAGCUUGAAGCAAGAGAAUAAGGAACUUCAUAAGAAAAAUGAAGAGAUAAAAGACAAGUGCAAUGAAAAUGGAAAGCUGAUUAGGACAAUGACAUCAUUGUUUUAUCAAGUUUUAGAAUCCAUUUGCAGUGGAGACGCUUCAACACAACUUAUAGACGCUGCACAAACCGCCUUGCGUAUGGCUAACCCUCCGGUCAAUGAUGCAUUUGAAGAAGAUGAUGGUGGUGGAAGAAAAGAAUCAAGGGAUGAUGCAUAACUUCUUAAACUAUGAAGCUCAUAUUCUUGAAGUUGUAGGCUUUAAUUCGAGUGGCCUUUGUUUUGAAGAUGACAUCUAUCUAUCUAUCUAUACUAUAUAUUAAAAGGCGUUUCAAAAGAAGUUUACAUGCCACAUGGCGCUCUGCUUAUUAGUCAUUAACUCUAUGCGAUUUUCACAUACAUGAAAAAAAUGAGAAAUAUGGUUUGCAUAAGGAUUGAACCCCUAA